rnacentral:rRNA from 1 species
GAUGAACGCUGGCGGCGUGCUUAACACAUGCAAGUCGAACGGGAAUUAUUUUAUUGAAACUUCGGUCGAUUUAAUUUAAUUCUAGUGGCGGACGGGUGAGUAACGCGUGGGUAACCUGCCUUAUACAGGGGGAUAACAGUCAGAAAUGGCUUCUAAUACCGCAUAAGCGCACAGAGCUGCAUGGCUCAGUGUGAAAAACUCCGGUGGUAUAAGAUGGACCCGCGUUGGAUUAGCUUGUUGGCAGGGUAACGGCCUACCAAGGCGACGAUCCAUAGCCGGACUGAGAGGGUGAACGGCCACAUUGGGACUGAGACACGGCCCAGACUCCUACGGGAGGCAGCAGUGGGGAAUAUUGCACAAUGGGGGAAACCCUGAUGCAGCGACGCCGCGUGAAGGAAGAAGUAUCUCGGUAUGUAAACUUCUAUCAGCAGGGAAGAUAGUGACGGUACCUGACUAAGAAGCCCCGGCUAACUACGUG